CCGGGCUGAGGGCGGGGCCGGGCCGGGCCACCGGGCACGGUCGGAGUCUGGCCCCGAUCCCUGUCCCUCUCGGCGAAUUUCCGAGGGGCUGCGUGCUGUGAGCGAAGACCGCAAUUCCACGGGCUCUUUUCAGUUCAUUUGCGGAGUAGUCGGAAGUCCCGCAGGAAAAUCCACACUGUUUCUCCCAACAUGCGAGGCCAACCUUACGCAAAGGUCUCAUCAGGGGAUUCAAAACCCCUGUGAACACACAGCAACUAUAAAUCUCUCAUUCAGCCUCCAGAGGUCUGAGCAUUUGGACAUAUUAACAAGCCCACACUGGAAAGAGUGGAGGAGAAAAAAGGAAAACAAAUGAGGCUCCAGAGAAAACAAGUGCCUACAGGGCUACUUAUGACGGCAAAUACUGAAGAAAAAGCUUACGGGCGGUGGCACCGUUCUGCUAAGUGAGGUCAGGAGAAGUCCGGAGCAAUGACGCUCAACAAGCCCAAAAUACUUCAGUCAGCACUGAUGGAUUUCGUGACUUCCCAGUGUGAAGGUGUCGCUGUUUGCGUCAACUGCCGUUGCUGACACACUUACCCUGUGCUGGGUGUUCUUUCCCGCCCGAGGUUAGUCCUGCCCAGAGGUUGCUGCCUGUGGAAUCACCCUGGGGGAUUUAGCACACUGAAAAGCAAGACAGCUCUUCCAAGAGUUCAGGAUGCAAUCCACUCCUGGGACUUUAGACUCUGGGAAUUAAUCCCACGGGAGAUUUGACAGGCCAAAUCUCACACACAAAUACCAUGGACAUGGAUAAAAUAGCCAAAGAGCUCAUCUGUAGCAAGAGAGAUGGAUUUAGUAAAACACGGUAAUAUUUUCAAAAUAGAUUCUUGCAUUGUUUUGUUCUGUAUGACGUAAGGAACAGUUGGGAAUGAGAUUACUGGGUUUGAAGAGCAUUAGAGAGUACAGAAGGUGGAGAUGACCAUUAAAUACCUGCCACUUUCUCAGUUCACUUGGACCAUAGCUCUGUGAGGGAAGGAAUUGCACAGGCGUUUUUCAAAGCUUUCUUUCAAACUAACAGGCAUUCUCUGCUUUUUGGGACAAUCAGAAGAGAUUCUCUAACAGCUGGGACAUUCUUGUGCUAGGAGCACAGUCACAUGCUUGUGCCAUGCUUUUUGGAAAUACAUGGAUCAGGGCAAUUUUAGAGGCCAGCUUAUGUCUGUUUUUCUUCUGUGUAGCCUUGGCAUAAAAAGAGGUGAUUUUACAUUAGGCCACCUGUUUGCACGAGGAAAAUGGAGAUGUUCUGCUCUCUCAAACAUAAACUGUA
rnacentral:lncRNA from 1 species